rnacentral:rRNA from 1 species
AUUGAACGCUGGCGGCAGGCCUAACACAUGCAAGUCGAACGGUAACAGGAAGCUGCUUGCUGCUUUGCUGACGAGUGGCGGACGGGUGAGUAAUGUCUGGGAAACUGCCUGAUGGAGGGGGAUAACUACUGGAAACGGUAGCUAAUACCGCAUAACGUCGCAAGACCAAAGAGGGGGACCUUCGGGCCUCUUGCCAUCGGAUGUGCCCAGAUGGGAUUAGCUAGUAGGUGGGGUAACGGCUCACCUAGGCGACGAUCCCUAGCUGGUCUGAGAGGAUGACCAGCCACACUGGAACUGAGACACGGUCCAGACUCCUACGGGAGGCAGCAGUGGGGAAUAUUGCACAAUGGGCGCAAGCCUGAUGCAGCCAUGCCGCGUGUAUGAAGAAGGCCUUCGGGUUGUAAAGUACUUUCAGCGGGGAGGAAGGGAGUAAAGUUAAUACCUUUGCGCAUUGACGUUACCCGCAGAAGAAGCACCGGCUAACUCCGUG